rnacentral:rRNA from 1 species
GAGUAGGGCUACACACGUGCUACAAUGGCGCAUACAAAGAGAAGCGACCUCGCGAGAGCAAGCGGACCUCAUAAAGUGCGUCGUAGUCCGGAUUGGAGUCUGCAACUCGACUCCAUGAAGUCGGAAUCGCUAGUAAUCGCAGAUCAGCAUGCUACGGUGAAUACGUUCCCGGGCCUUGUACACACCGCCCGUCACACCAUGGGAGGCGGUUGCAAAAGAAGUAGGUAGCUUAACCCUAGGCAGGGCGCUUCCCACUUUGUGAUUCAUGACUGGGGUGAAGUCGUAACAUGGUAACCGUAGGGGAACCUGCGGUUGGAUCACCUCCUUACCU